rnacentral:rRNA from 1 species
AGCCCGGCAAAUUUGCACCGUAACUUCGGGAUAAGGUGCGCCCCGAUAGGUUGAAGCCCCUCGCGGGUGUAGGCUGAACGGGUUGCAGUGAAAUGGUGGCUGCGACUGUUUAAUAAAAACACAGCACUCUGCAAACACGAAAGUGGACGUAUAGGGUGUGACGCCUGCCCGGUGCCGGAAGGUUAAGUGAUGGGGUGCAAGCUCUUGAUCGAAGCCCCGGUAAACGGCGGCCGUAACAAUAACGGUCCUAAGGUAGCGAAAUUCCUUGUCGGGUAAGUUCCGACCUGCACGAAUGGCGUAACGAUGGCCACACUGUCUCCUCCUGAGACUCAGCGAAGUUGAAAUGAUUGUGAAGAUGCAAUCUCCCCGCGGUUAGACGGAAAGACCCCAUGAACCUUUACUGUAGCUUUGCAUUGGACUUUGAACAAAUCUGUGUAGGAUAGGUGGGAGGCUGUGAAACCGGGACGCUAGUUCUGGUGGAGCCACCCUUGAAAUACCACCCUGGUUUGUUUGAGGUUCUAACCAUGGCCCGUGAAUCCGGGUUUGGGACCGUGCAUGGUAGGCAGUUUGACUGGGGCGGUCUCCUCCUAAAGUGUAACGGAGGAGUACGAAGGUACGCUAGGUACGGUCGGACAUCGUGCUGAUAGUGCAAUGGCAUAAGCGUGCUUGACUGCGAGACACACACGUCGAGCAGGUACGAAAGUAGGUCAUAGUGAUCCGGUGGUUCUGUAUGGAAGGGCCAUCGCUCAACGGAUAAAAGGUACUCUGGGGAUAACAGGCUAAUACCGCCCAAGAGUUCAUAUCGACGGCGGUGUUUGGCACCUCGAUGUCGGCUCAUCACAUCCUGGGGCUGUAGUCGGUCCCAAGGGUAUGGCUGUUCGCCAUUUAAAGUGGUACGUGAGCUGGGUUUAAAACGUCGUGAGACAGUUUGGUCCCUAUCUGCCGUGGGCGCUGGAAAUUUGAAGGGGGCUGCUCCUAGUACGAGAGGACCGGAGUGGACGAACCUCUGGUGUACCGGUUAUGACGCCAGUCGUAUUGCCGGGUAGCUAAGUUCGGAAGAGAUAAACGCUGAAAGCAUCUAAGCGUGAAACUCGCCUUGAGAUAAGAUCUCCCUGGGGACUUGAUCCCCCUGAAGGGUCGUGGUAGACCACCACGUUGAUAGGCUGGGUGUGGAAGCGCAGCAAUGCGUUAAGCUAACCAGUACUAAUUGCCCGUGAGGCUUGAUCCU